ACACCCUUUUAGCUCAGUCGUCGAUCGUUGGCUUUGGAAGCCACAUAUCGGUGGUUCGAUUCCACCCGGGUGCA
rnacentral:tRNA from 1 species